rnacentral:rRNA from 1 species
AUUGAACGCUGGCGGCAGGCCUAACACAUGCAAGUCGAGCGAGCGGCGGACGGGUGAGUAAUGUAUGGGGACUGCCCGAUAGAGGGGGAUAACUACUGGAAACGGUGGCUAAUACCGCAUACUAUCGGAUAACCCAUAUGGGAUUAGCUAGUAGGUGGGGUAAAGGCUCACCUAGGCGACGAUCCCUAGCUGGUCUGAGAGGAUGAUCAGCCACACUGGGACUGAGACACGGCCCAGACUGCUACGGAGGCAGCAGUGGGGAAUAUUGUACAAUGGGCGCAAGCCUUAUGCAGCCAUGCCGCGUGUAUGAAGAAGGCCUUCGGGUUGUAAAGUACUUUCAGUCGGGAGGAGUUACCGACAGAAGAAGCACCGGCUAAAUCCGUGCCAGCAGACGCGGUAAUUA